GGCUGAAAAACAGAACAAACAGUAAAUUGCUUGUUAGACUCAUUUUAAUAAUCAAUCACCUCCAUUCAAUGAACUUCUAACAUUAAUUAUGAGAGUGCACGAAUCUCCAGCAUUCUCACAAAUUGAGAUUUGGGGUUUUUUUUUUUUUUUUGGAAGGCACAUGGUAAGUCCCAAAUAGGUGGAAUACACAUGCACACAUACAUUCAUUCAUUAAGUACCAUCAGUCAGGGAUAUUCCUUUUGUUGCCACAUCUCAAAGGUAACAGCCAUCACACAAGUUUCUGUACAAGCGACUUAGAAGUAUUGCAAAUGCACCCCACUGUAUAUUUGAGUCUGUCUACCAUUUGCUUUGAAGAUAUUCUAGUUUGCGUGCUGUUUUUUGAGAUACACCAGGGCAAAAGUGUCAUCGCUGCAAAAGUAUUUUAGAAUUCAUUUUCUAUGGAAACAAAAAAAAAAAACCCCAAACAAACAUGCAAUUCAAGGGACAUACAUGACCUAGGACAGCAGCCUCCGGUUUAGUUAAGGCCAGUAAUUUCCAUUGCACAUGCGUACGCAUCUUCCACAAGCUGGCAGGAUGCCAUACGGACAUGAGAAGGGAAACAUCCCAGGUUUGGUGUGCGUUUUUCAAGGAAGAACGGAGACAAGAGCAAGCCUGCAGUUCUAGGCAACGAGCCUGUGCCCAGACAGGCAGCAGGAUCCAGGGACUCGGCAGGCUUCCUCCCUCCCUGGCCAAGCCUCCUCUACACUGCAAUUGCCUCAGAGCGUCUCUUCCUCACGCACGCCUGUCUUGCUCUGAGUUGACCGACUGCCUGACCUAUGCCUCGGUCUCUAGCCCUGUUUUCUGCAUCUCCUCCUGUUGACUUGCAGUCUGGUUGCUCAAUGAAUUCCUGAGAAACACAGGGAGUUACGACAACAUUCAAAAGCAGCCAUUCUCCUGGCCCGAGGCAAGCCCUCCAGAGCUUUCACGCUUUUAAAUCUUUUAACUUUGAGCAGGGCAACAGGAGGCUGCACAGCUUAGCACAGUGCCACCCUUGCCACAUCCCACAGAUGGCCAGGAAAAUGAGCCUGUAGCCAUAAAUCGUUUCUGUCCCUCACCCAUGGGUUCUGGGAUGGCCCAAGGCACCCCAACACAAGGGUGCCAGGUCUCCUCUGGAACCCAUGUGGCUCUUCGAGCCCUAGACAAUGCAACGUAUAACUUAAGAGGUGUGUAAAAACAGUUAUUUCUUUAGAGAGUGCCUGAGGUAAUGAGAAGGUUGCCUGACAGGCUGUUACAUUCGCACUUUUCAGCAUGACACCAAGCAUAUGAGCUGAGUGGUGUUAUCAAGAAGAUACAAGGCUGAUCAAGACACAGAAGACUGGGCUGAGCAGAGGGAAUCAAGGCUGAUCUAGAGAGCACAAGACAGAGCAUGCAGCUUCUGACCACUGAUGAUCCAGUACGUGUGUACCUGGAGAACACAUGCAGUUCCUCCUCGGUAUUCAGGUUUCUAUGUCACCUUAACAUGAUGACUGCUCCCAGAAUGUGAAAUUAGGCUUCUUUGUGACCAGCAUCACUAAGGUAAACCACUUGCAUGCCAGAU